UACGUAGGGGGCAAGCGUUACUCGGAUUCAUUGGGCGUAAAGCGAAUGUAGGCGGUUUGGUAAGUCAGAGGUGAAAUCCCUCAGCUCAACUGAGGAAUUGCCUUUGAUACUGCUGAACUUGAGGACAGGAGAGGAAAGUGGAAUUCCAGGUGUAGCGGUGGAAUGCGUAGAUAUCUGGAGGAACACCAGAGGCGAAGGCGGCUUUCUGGACUGGUCCUGACGCUGAGAUUCGAAAGCCAGGGGAGCAAACAGGAUUAGAUACCCUCGUA
rnacentral:rRNA from 1 species